CGGAAGUUUUGUAAUGAGUGUUAGCAAACAUAGUUACGCUAGCUUGCUCAUCGCAACAAUCUUUCGAUCUGGAAUAGCAGCCAGGAGCCAUCAGCCCCAACAGCCAUGGACAGCUUUGUGUUGUUUCGGGGAGCAAAGCGUAUCACCCUAAAGGAGGAUGACAUGACUACCGAAAAAAUAGCCAGGAUUUUCCAGGUUCAUAACUCCAGUCUCUACAUUACCGAUGAUAACAAUAUGGCCAUAUUCCCUGGAAAUGAGGGUCAAUUCAGAACUAUUGACCUUAUUGUAAGGGGAUAUUAUGAAGAGCAUGGAGAGAGUGAUGAUAUGGGGGAGCCAGCCAGUGUGCCUGGACCAUUCCCGACCCGUUUCUCCUUCCGCCGGCCAGCAAGUGCCGCUGCGGGCUCAGCUUCAACUGCAAGGCCCUCUCCGAGAGCACCCAUGGCUAAGACAUUCCAAAGGACCGUCUUCAUUGCUGAUCUUGUGGAUGGCAGAUUGGAAACAAGCAAAGCCCUGACAGUCCGAUUCUUGGAAUUUGAGGCUUCUUUCGUGGGCAUCACAAGUAAAUGAUGCCCUUGAACUUACUGAUGCUCAGGGAAACCAGAUCUUGGACACAGAGGGCACCAGAGGAUCAGUGUUUUGGAAGCAAACUGCAAGGAAAGUUUGUGCUGUGAAGGAAGGAGAUUUACGGCAGUUACAAGGAAGCAAAAAGAGGAGACUGAGUCGGCGAGAUGAUAAUGGUCUAGAUGCAGUGUUUGAUACAAUUGAAGAGGUGGUACUGGCAGCACAGGGUCUUCAGGAGGUGUCAACUACAAUCAAGGAGCUGACAAACCGAGCAAG